GGCGCUGUUACAGUGGAUGCGAACUAACCAUGCAGCAGCAGCCGGAACCCACAGUUCACCUUGGUGCAUUCCUUUAUGAUGAAGACUUAUUGAUUCAUUAUAUGAGAAAGGAAAAAUGAGCAGAAACUACUGUAUGAUGUGCAGCUCACACCAGACAGCAACUUUAGUCUCACUCUGUCACCUGGCUGGAGUUUAGUGACACGAUCUUAGCUCCCUGCAACCUCUGCCUCCUGAGUUCAAGUGAUUCUCCUACCUCAGCCUCCUGAGUAGCUGGA
rnacentral:lncRNA from 10 species